UGAACGACUCUCGGCAACGGAUAUCUCGGCUCUCGCAUCGAUGAAGAACGUAGCGAAAUGCGAUACUUGGUGUGAAUUGCAGAAUCCCGUGAACCAUCGAGUCUUUGAACGCAAGUUGCGCCCGAGGCCUUUGGCCGAGGGCACGUCUGCCUGGGCGUCACGC
rnacentral:rRNA from 6 species